rnacentral:rRNA from 1 species
GACGAACGCUGGCGGCGUGCCUAAUACAUGCAAGUCGAACGCACUCUCGUUUAGAUUGAAGGAGUUUGCUCCUGAUUGAUAAACAUUUGAGUGAGUGGCGGACGGGUGAGUAACACGUGGGUAACCUGCCCUAAAGUGGGGGAUAACAUUUGGAAACAGAUGCUAAUACCGCAUAAAACCUAACACCGCAUGGUGUAGGGUUGAAAGAUGGUUUCGGCUAUCACUUUAGGAUGGACCCGCGGUGCAUUAGUUAGUUGGUGAGGUAAAGGCUCACCAAGACCGUGAUGCAUAGCCGACCUGAGAGGGUAAUCGGCCACACUGGGACUGAGACACGGCCCAGACUCCUACGGGAGGCAGCAGUAGGGAAUCUUCCACAAUGGACGAAAGUCUGAUGGAGCAACGCCGCGUGAGUGAAGAAGGUUUUCGGAUCGUAAAACUCUGUUGUUGGAGAAGAAUGUAUCUGAAAGUAACUGAUCAGGUAGUGACGGUAUCCAACCAGAAAGCCACGGCUAACUACGUG